rnacentral:rRNA from 1 species
GACGAACGCUGGCGGCGUGCUUAACACAUGCAAGUCGAACGGAAAGGCCCUGCUUUUGUGGGGUGCUCGAGUGGCGAACGGGUGAGUAACACGUGAGUAACCUGCCCUUGACUUUGGGAUAACUUCAGGAAACUGGGGCUAAUACCGGAUAGGAGCUCCUGCUGCAUGGUGGGGGUUGGAAAGUUUCGGCGGUUGGGGAUGGACUCGCGGCUUAUCAGCUUGUUGGUGGGGUAGGGGCUUACCAAGGCUUUGACGGGUAGCCGGCCUGAGAGGGUGACCGGCCACAUUGGGACUGAGGUACGGCCCAGACUCCUACGGGAGGCAGCAGUGGGGAAUAUUGCACAAUGGGCGGAAGCCUGAUGCAGCAACGCCGCGUGCGGGAUGACGGCCUUCGGGUUGUAAACCGCUUUCGCCUGUGACGAAGCGUGAGUGACGGUAAUGGGUAAAGAAGCACCGGCUAACUACGUG